CCUACGGGGGGCUGCAGUGGGGAAUCUUGCGCAAUGGGCGAAAGCCUGACGCAGCAACGCCGCGUGCGGGAUGAAGGCCUUCGGGUUGUAAACCGCUUUCAGCAGGGACGAAAAUGACGGUACCUGCAGAAGAAGCCCCGGCUAACUACGUGCCAGCAGCCGCGGUAAUACGUAGGGGGCAAGCGUUGUCCGGAUUUAUUGGGCGUAAAGAGCUCGUAGGCGGUUCCGUAAGUCGAGUGUGAAAAAUCUGGGCUCAACCCAGUGGAGCACUCGAUACUGCGGUGACUAGAGUACGGUAGAGGAGUGUGGAAUUCCUGGUGUAGCGGUGAAAUGCGCAGAUAUCAGGAGGAACACCAACGGCGAAGGCAGCACUCUGGGCCGGUACUGACGCUGAGGAGCGAAAGCGUGGGGAGCAAACAGGAUUAGAUACCCCAGUAGUC
rnacentral:rRNA from 1 species